AGAGUUUGAUCCUGGCUCAGAUUGAACGCUGGCGGCAUGCCUAACACAUGCAAAUCGAACGGUAACAGGUCUUCGGAUGCUGACGAGUGGCGGACGGGUGAGUAAUGCGUAGGAAUCUGUCUUUUAGUGGGGGACAACCCAGGGAAACUUGGGCUAAUACCGCAUGAGCCCUGAGGGGGAAAGCGGGGGAUCUUCGGACCUCGCGCUAAGAGAGGAGCCUACGUCCGAUUAGCUAGUUGGCGGGGUAAAGGCCCACCAAGGCGACGAUCGGUAGCUGGUCUGAGAGGACGACCAGCCACACUGGACUGAGACACGCC
rnacentral:rRNA from 1 species